rnacentral:ncRNA from 1 species
UUAAGCUCAGUACAGCUUUUAAAUAUAUAGAUUUAAUUUAAAAUUCACAUAUCUAUUAUUGAAAUUAAAAACAUACAACAACAUUAAUCAUGAUAAAAGUUGUAAAUCAAUUCAUUAACUAAAUAUAGUGCCAGCAGUUGCGGUUAGACUAUAAAUGAACUUAUAUAAUUAUUUUCUUUCAGGUAAUAUUUUUUUAAAAAAUUAAAUAUUAAGUAAAAUUUUAUUUUAUUUUUAAACUAAUCUUUUAUAUAGAAAAAAUUAAAAACUUAAAACAGGAUUAGAUACCCUUUUAUAUUUUAUUAAAUUUUGGUAGUAAUAACUUAAUUAAAAACCAAUGUAGUUUGGCGGCAUUUAUUCACAUUAGAGGAACCUGUCUUUUAAUCGAUUCCCCGCGAUAUUUUUCACUUUUAUUUAUAUUUUAUAUACCUCCAUCUAAAGGAUUAAUAUUUAUAUUUUCUUCAAAAUAGAUCUCCUAAUAAGUUAGGUAAAGGUGUAAACUAUAUAAAAGAUAAGAUGGGUUACUUUAAAAUUUAUUUAAGGAUAAUUAAUUAAAAUUAUUUUUGAAAAGGGAUUUAUAAGUAAUUUUUAAAUAAUACUUUUAAAUGAAUUUGAUAAACAAUGUGCACAUAUCGCCCGUCACCCUUAUCUAAAGGUAAGGUAAGUCGUAACAUAGUUGGUGUUUUGGAAAAAGCAUCAAG